CCCUUAGAUGUUCUGGGCUGCACGCGCGCUACACUGAUGCGCUCAACGAGUUUACGACCUUGCCCGGAAGGGUUGGGUAAUCUUUUUAAAACGCAUCGUGAUGGGGAUAGAUUAUUGCAAUUAUUAAUCUUUAACGAGGAAUUCCUAGUAAGCGCGAGUCAUCAGCUCGUGCUGAUUACGUCCCUGCCCUUUGUACACACCGCCCGUCGCUACUACUGAUUGGGUGUUCAAGUGAGAUGCUUAGACCCUUGUUGCAUGGUUCAUUAUUGUGCUCCGAAAGGAAAAAGUUUCAAGCUUGAGUGUCUAGAGGAAGUAAAAGUCGUAACA
rnacentral:rRNA from 1 species